GUGUUUGAAGAGUGGAAGAGCCUUUGGUUGGAGGCCGCCGCCACAUGAAAGGUAAUGGAGGGGGAGGAGGCCCAAAGGGAGAAGGUUCUCGAAGAGUCACAAGAAAAAGUCUUAUUCCCCUUUCUCAUUACAUUUUCCUCUAAUCCAUUUUAAUUAAUUUGAUAAUCCUAUGUUUUUGCUUUAAUUAAUAUGACAAUUCUAAGUUUUUGCUCUAAUUAGCAUUUUUAGAGUUCAGACAUCAAGAAAAAAUAAUUUUGGGAAUUGGGUUUGGGCCGAACAUUCGGGCUCUUGAUCGGAC
rnacentral:lncRNA from 1 species